GCAAAUCCGCUUUGAUAAUGCUGGGAUGUGAUGGGGAGCGAAAUUUAGUAGCGAAGUAGCUGAUUUCACACUGUCAAGAAAAGUCUCUAUCGAGGUUAAAGGUACCCGUACCGCAAACCGACACAGGUGGGUGAGGAGAGUAUCCUAAGGCCAGCGAGAGAACUGUUGUUAAGGAACUCGGCAAAAUGACCCCGUAACUGAGGGAUAAGGGGUGCCACCAUCAGGUGGCCGCAGAGAAUAGGCCCAAGCGACUGUUUACCAAAAACAUAGGUGUCUGCUAAGUCGCAAGACGAUGUAUAGGAGCUGACGCCUGCCCGGUGCUGGAAGGUUAAGGGGAUCUGUUAGAGCAAUCGAAGCAGUGAACUUAAGCCCCAGUAAACGGCGGCCGUAACUAUAACGGUCCUAAGGUAGCGAAAUUCCUUGUCGGGUAAGUUCCGACCCGCACGAAAGGCGUAACGAUUUGGGCACUGUCUCAACAACAGACUCGGUGAAAUUGUAAUUCCGGUGAAGAUGCCGGAUACCUGCGACAGGACGGAAAGACCCCAUGGAGCUUUACUGUAGCUUGACAUUGGGUCUUGGUACUACAUGUACAGGAUAGGUGGGAGGCUUUGAAACCAGGACGCCAGUUUUGGCGGAGCCAUCCUUGGGAUACCACCCUUGUAGUACUGGGACUCUAACCAUAG
rnacentral:rRNA from 1 species